AGAUUGAACGCUGGCGGCAUGCCUUACACAUGCAAGUCGAACGGCAGCACGGGGGCAACCCUGGUGGCGAGUGGCGAACGGGUGAGUAACAUAUCGGAACGUGCCCUGGAGUGGGGGAUAACUAGUCGAAAGAUUAGCUAAUACCGCAUACGAUCUACGGAUGAAAGUGGGGGAUCGCAAGACCUCAUGCUCGUGGAGCGGCCGAUAUCUGAUUAGCUAGUUGGUGGGGUAAAGGCCUACCAAGGCAUCGAUCAGUAGCUGGUCUGAGAGGACGACCAGCCACACUGGGACUGAGACACGGCCCAGACUCCUACGGGAGGCAGCAGUGGGAAUUUUGGACAAUGGGGCAACCUGAUCCAGCAAUGCCGCGUGAGUGAAGAAGGCCGUUCGGUUGUAAGCUCUUUGUCAGGAAGAACGGCGGGACUAAG
rnacentral:rRNA from 1 species